GUUUGGCUGUGUGUGGAUGGUGUUCAGCACCAGUGGCAGGUGUGUUUGCCUGUGUGUGGAUGGUGUUCAGCACCAGGGACAGGUAUGUUUGGCU
rnacentral:pre_miRNA from 1 species